rnacentral:lncRNA from 13 species
AGGUGCUUUCAUCCUGAAGCAGACAGCAUGUUUAAACCACACCUACUGUAUGUAGACAGUCUGUAGAAGUAACAGUAGCAAGUGUGUUAUGUUUUUGCUAGCUGAAUCCGUGAUACAGUAUCUAGCUAUAGAUCCAUAAUAUGCUAGCUAUAGGUCCAUAAUGUGCAUCCUAGUCUAAUGAUGGCGCAUACAGAGUUAGCUACAUGCUCUUGUUUUUGUUCAUUCAGAGAUGGGCGAACGCUGUGAGGGUUGAUGUUGUCAACUUUGUGUCUAUGGUGAACGGAGGUCUGGAAAUGCAGAGCGACUUUUUCACACAUAAUAACAUGAAGGUCCAUAAAAAAGACACCCUGAGCCAAAUGCUGCAGUUUCUUGUUGACGACUACUUCCCACAGAUGCACCAAAGGUACACAGACCUCAACAGCCAGUCCUCUGGCGAGUACAGCCUCAACCCCACUGUGCCUCCGUUCCUGUGGCAUCGCCCUUGGAGUGUGGUGGCCCUGGUGAUGGACAACAUGUCUGCGGCCCUGCAAGACCCCGACAUCGUGGUGGAGCAGGCCAGCGACGCCGCCGACGGCACCUUCCGGGUGAAGAGUCGGGCAGAGACCACGGCAGCGCGGUCCUACGCGGUCAGCUUCGGUUCAGAGUCCACCUGGCCCUCCUGUGAGUGUGAGGUGUGGAGGGACCAGCGCCUGCCCUGUGAACACUUCUGUCACGUCUUCAGGUCUGAGCCUAACUGGACCUGGGAGCACCUGUGUCCCAAAUACAGGGACCACCCUCUGCUCACGCUGCAUUCACAGACCACUCACACCACAACAGAGGAGAUAGAGGAAGCCCUCAAUGGUCUAAUGCAUCUCUCCCCAGCUUCCCCAGUCUCUCUUCAGUGGGAUGGGCCUGAAGAAACAGUGCCACUGGUGCAAACUCCUCAAACUCCACAGUUACAACUGUAUAGCAUACAAACACAGUGGGUGGCCCCACAGGCUUCACAGGGUCUGCGGGAGAGGGAGGAACUGCAAAAGGAGGAACUGCAGAGGGAGUGUGUGGCCAAACUCAAAUCCAUCAUGGAGAAUGUGAGUGGGAUCAACGACAUUGACCACCUACAGGAGCUCAGGCAGAAACUGGACGUUCUCCAGGCUCAGAGUGAGGCCAUGCUGGUUCAGAAGGACGCUAGCGUCAAAACAGUUACCACCUCUAAGGGGAAGAGAAAAAGGGCAGGGGUGGAGAUUAUCGUGGCCAUGCCCAAACGCAUCAAAGUGCUCUCCCGGGUUGAUGUAGAAAAUGUUCAGAAAUAGCUUUUUUCUAAAGAGGGAAAAUAAAGUACGGUAUUAAUCAGGUUGUCGCUCUUAUUUCUUGGGUGAUGUACAAAUAACUCUUUGUUAUGAUGUUAUCACGUAUCCAGUUCUAGAAAGUGUUUGGCUGCUUGAUCACAAGGGUCAGCUUGAUGUAAGAUGCUGCGCACGUUCACAAACCUUUCCAUAACAAAUUUAUACAUUUGUUAUAUUGCACAGUCCAAACUAUUUAGAAAUUAGCCAAGUAUCUCAACUCCAUGCUGAUUUCUUCUGCAGAGUUGAGUGGAGCCUAGAGUUUUUGGACUAAACAUCCAACAUUCUUCGAGUUGCUGUAUAAUCGAUACUUCAAAAUUGUAAAUUCUUAAACCCUUACCGUGUAUCUAUUUUUUUUCCCUCUCUGGCUUUCUUUGUUUGCUGAAAUCCAUACCUUUUAAAUAAAAAGUUAAUCAAAUACAACCACUGACUGUUUCCUCAUUUAAAUUAAUUUGGCAUAUUUGCUAUGUGAGUUGCUAUGUUAGAGCAACAGCCAGUGGCAUCAUGCCCAUAGGGGGCAAAAAAAGCACGUGCCCCCUCAGAUUUUUCCAUUUGAUUUAUUUUUAUUAAAAACAAAAUUUCAGUUUUAAGCCCACAUUUUAUCCUAAUUAUUUAUAAAAAGAUCUGUCAGUGGUAUUUUGCAUCGGGAGCACACUGAAUGGACCAGGCAAAGAGUCCCACCAAUGUGUUGAAGGAAACAACGUACAACUGGCGACUGUCAGUGUGCAUGUGCCCGGCUCGCCACAGAAGUUGCUAGAGCGCGAUGGACAAGGACAUCCCGGCCGGCCAAACCAUCCCCGAACCCGGACAAUGCUAGGUCAAUUGUGCGUCAUCUCAGUCCGGGACACAGUCCGGGAUGGAACCCGGAUCUGUAGUGACGCCUCAAACACUGCAAUGCCUUAGACCGCUGCACCACUCGGGAGGCCAAUUUCCUGGUGGUUUCACAGCCUUUAAUGUCCAACAAUGAAAUAAAUAUAUAUUUACUGUGUAUAUAUGUAUAUGUACACAAUAAGAGUCAAAUAAUAGUGAAGAUGUCACGUCUCCCACCGAAGGUGGCUACCCUGCCUGUUCGGGCGGAGCUUGACAACUUUCCGUUUCGUUUUGUCUUAUUGGUUGCACCUGUUCCCUGUUAAGUUUAUUGAUUUAUGUCUAUUUAAGCCUGUUAGGUCCGCCUAGGUUUGUGCGGGAUUGUUACUCUGUUGGUUGUGGAUGUGUUUUCGUGUUUGUUUUCUCCAGACUGUUUGGUCCUGUGUUUGGGCUGGUCUGUUUUAUGCGCCCUGUAUUUUGGCAUGACCAUUUUGUGCCGGAGAAUAAAUGACGAUUUACCGAACCCUCUGCUCUCUGCACCUGACUCCAACCCACCACUCCUAGUAAACUCUGACAGAAUCCCGCACCAUUUGAAUGGAGUCAGCAGGAGCAGCCGCACCUCCUCUCCCAUCGAUGGAGGAGCGAGUCCAUCAUACGGCCAUUCUCCACCGGAUUGGGUCGGCAAUGGACCAGAUGAUGGAGAGGAUGGACCGAUGGGAGAGGAGUGGCCUCCCUAACUCACCUCCAGCUCCUCUUCCACCAGCACCACCUACCCCUCCUCCAGCAUCCAGAUCCGGUGCCCUGCGUCUGGCUCUCCCCAGGGAGUACGAUGGAACGGCGGCUGGGUGCCAGGGGUUCCUGCCUCAGUUGAAGUUGUACCUGGCUACCGUUCGUCCAACUCCCUUGGGGGAGGAGAGCGUGGGCGUCCUCGUCUCCUGUCUGACAGGUCGAGCCCUGGAGUGGGCCAACGCAGUGUGGAAUGGCCCAGACUCGGCGAGGGAUUUUAUUUUAUUAUUUUUUUUAUUUAUUUCACCUUUAUUUAACCAGGUAGGCUAGUUGAGAACAAGUUCUCAUUUGCAACUGCGACCUGGCCAAGAUAAAGCAUAGCAGUGUGAACAGACAACACAGAGUUACACAUGGAGUAAACAAUUAACAAGUCAAUAACACAGUAGAAAAAAAGGAUAGUCUAUAUACAUUGUGUGCAAAAGGCAUAAGGAGGUAGGCGAAUAAUUACAAUUUUGCAGAUUAACACUGGAGUGAUAAAUGAUCAGAUGGUCAUGUAGAGAUACUGGUGUGCAAAAGAGCAGAAAAGUAAAUAAAUAAAAACAGUAUGGGGAUGAGGUAGGUAAAAAUGGGUGGGCUAUUUACCGAUAGACUAUGUACAGCUGCAGCGAUCGGUUAGCUGCUCAGAUAGCAGAUGUUUGAAGUUGGUGAGGGAGAUAAAAGUCUCCAACUUCAGCGAUUUUUGCAAUUUGUCACAGGCAGCAGAGAACUGGAACGAAAGGCGGCCAAAUGAGGUGUUGGCUUUAGGGAUGAUCAGUGAGAUACACCUGCUGGAGCGCGUGUUACGGGUGGGUGUUGCCAUCGUGACCAGUGAACUGAGAUAAGGCGGAGCUUUACCUAGCAUGGACUUGUAGAUGACCUGGAGCCAGUGGGUCUGGCAACGAAUAUGUAGCGAGGGCCAGCCGACUAGAGCAGUGGUGGGUGGUAUAAGGCGCUUUAGUGACAAAACGGAUGGCACUGGGAUAAACUGCAUCCAGUUUGCUGAGUAGAGUGUUGGAAGCAAUUUUGUAGAUGACAUCGCCGAAGUCAAGGAUCGGUAGGAUAGUCAGUUUUACUAGGGUAAGUUUGGCGGCGUGAGUGAAGGAGGCUUUGUUGCGGAAUAGAAAGCCGACUCUAGAUUUGAUUUUUGAUUGGAGAUGUUUGAUAUGAGUAUGGAAGGAGAGUUUACAGUCUAGCCAGACACCUAGGUACUUAUAGAUGUCCACAUAUUCAAGGUCGGAACCAUCCAGGGUGGUGAUGCUAGUCAGGCGUGUUGAAGCUUGUUUGGAGGUUAGAUAGCACAGUGUCCAAGGACGGGUCGGAAGUAUAUAGAAUGGUGUCGUCUGCGUAGAGGUGGAUCAGGGAAUCGCCCGCAGCAAGAGCAACAUCAUUGAUAUAUACAGAGAAAAGAGUCGGCCCGAGAAUUUAACCCUGUGGCACCCCCAUAGAGACUGCCAGAGGACCGGACAGCAUGCCCUCCGAUUUGACACACUGAACUCUGUCUGCAAAGUAGUUGGUGAACCAGGCAAGGCAGUCAUCAGAAAAACCGAGGCUACUGAGUCUGCCGAUAAGAAUAUGGUGAUUGACAGAGUCGAAAGCCUUGGCAAGGUCGAUGAAGACAGCUGCACAGUACUGCACACUACCCUGAGUUCACCCGCCGGUUCCGGGCCGUGUUCGAC